CAGGUGCUGAGGUGGUGUGCAUUGAAAAUCCCCAUUGAGAGGAGGCACAAGAGCUUCGCAUGCAAAUGACCAGCAUAUCUGGAUUGGAAGGACUGUGACUGUGGAGGACAGAGUGUCAGUGGAGCCCAUAUUUUCUCCUGACCAUUCAUCUCUAAGCUGUCCUGCUAUUCCAGAAAGGACACAGAUGGCAGUGCUCCCAAACUCCCUCCCCAAGUGUCUGCUCACCAUCGUGCUCCUGCUGCUGACCUGCUGACUCGGGUCCUGCUCAUUCUCUAGCAGGUCACUUUGAASUGCUUGGACCUCAGGAGCCCAUCCUGGCUUUCAUGGGUGAGGACUCUGAGCUUCGUUGUCACCUGACCUCUGGCUAAAUGCUGAGCACAUGGAGCUGUGGUGGUUCCGGAACACCUUCUCACCUGCCAUGUUGGUGCUCCAGGAUGGGCGGGAGCAGGAGGGAGAGCAGAUGUCCGAGUACCGUGGGACACAUGGCCCUGCAGAUACACCGCAUCGGGACCUCUGAUGAAGGGCUGUAUGGGUGCUCCUUCAGAGACAAGCAAGCCCAGGGAGAAGCCUUCAUGAAUCUGAAAGUAGCUGCACUGGGGAUCAAACUAGCUGUGUGCCUUCGAGGCAAGUGCUUUGCCAYGCCACGGAGCUACUUUCCAAGCCCUGAAGUGCCAUUUUAUAUUGAUACCUCAGUCCCUUUGAAAUGAUGAGUUGUGCUGUACCCACUUCUGGAUUUCUCAGCAAUGAACUCCAAGCCUCACGYCACCAUGGAAGUUCAGGAGAGUAGCGAGGUCUGGCUGGAGUACACCUCCGUGGGGUGGUACCCAGAGCCCCAGGUGCAGUGGAGAUCUACCAAGGGAGAGGAGUUCCUGGCCACAUCAGAGUCCAGGAGUCCUGACGAGGAAGGCCUGUUCACUGUGGCAGCCUCAGUGACCCUCAGGGACAGCUCCAUGGACAGUGUGUCCUGCUGCAUCCGGAACCUCCUUCUUGGCCAGGAGAAGGAAGUAGGGAUUUCCAUUCCAGCUCCCUUCUGGCCAUUUUGGAAAACCUUCCUGUGUCCUGCAGUGCUCCUGGGCCUUGUCAUUGCUGCACAGUUUUUGCUUGGAAACUAUAAGAAAGAAGGAGAAAGAGAAAUGACAAAACUGGCCCCAUAGAAUGGGAACUGGCUCCUUCACAUGCAGGUAGGUGCACUCCGGGCUUUGAGAUAUAACUCCCAGGAACUCAAAGACCUAGAACAGGAGAGGCUGAUACACUAUGGUCACAAGCACUGGACAUUUUAAGUUGUGGGGAAAUCCUGAUGUUUCCUUGGGACACAGAGGGCUUUUGGGCCCAGAGACAAGUCCCCUGUGAAGGGCCACGUUAGGCACUGUGUGCCCUGGACAGUCAGUUCCUGCAUCACAGGAGACCCAAACUGCACAGCAGCGAGGCCGCUCCCACUGAGACCACCAUGUUAGCCCACUGCUGCUUCUUUGGAGAAGAGAGGACAGGUCCUGUGACUGACUGCCACUGACGGUCACACUCUCUGUUUCCAGUUGAUGUGACCUGGAUCCAGACACAGCCCACCCUCACCUUUUUCUGUACGAAGAACGCAAAAUCUGUUCCACUGGAGGAUUCACGCCAGAAGCCUGAAAAUCCAGAGAGAUUUYUUUUUUAUUGGUUAUUCAGAACAUUACAAAACUCUGACAUAUCAUUUUUCAUACAUUYGAUUCAAGUGGGUUAUGAACUCCCAUUUUUACCCCAAAUACAGAUUGCAGAAUCCCAUCAUCCAGAGAGAUUUGACUGGUGGCCRUGUGUGCUGGGCUGAGAGGUCUUCACCGAGGGGCAGCAUUACUGGGAGGUGGAGGUGGGGGACAGGACCGACUGGCGGGUUGGGGUGUGUAGGGAGAAUGUGAAGAAGAAGGGGUUCAUCCUCAUGUCUCCCAAGGCUGGCUUCUGRGUCCUGGAAUUAUCUGGAAAGGGGUACUGGGCGCUCACUCCACUCUGGACCCUUCUCCAGUUGGCAAGAACCCCUCGCAGGGUUGGGAUUUCCCUGAACUAGGAGUCAGGAACUGUCUCCUUUACAAUGUGAACGACAGGUCCCACACCUACACCUUCUCCAAGCCCUCUUUCCCUGGCCCCGAUCGUCCUUUAUUCUGCCUAUGGUCUUGUGAUGAGAAGCCCCUGACUAUGUAUCCAGUGGUCAGGCCUCAGGAAGUCACCAUCAUUGCUGAUGUCUAGGCCCUUUAUGGAGAUUCUGUUGUAUGGGAGCUGCCCUGAAUGACCACGCCUUCCAGUCCAGAAGCACRAGGCUCUAACCAGUCACUUGGUGGUGACUUGGACAUUGUCUCAGCUGGGGUAGCAAGGCAGGUCUCUUGUGUAGGCAUCACCCCCUGGGGUUGAGCU